UACGUAGGGGGCAAGCGUUAUCCGGAUUUACUGGGUGUAAAGGGAGCGUAGACGGCAGGGCAAGUCUGGAGUGGAAGGCAGGGGCCCAACCCCUGGACUGCUCUGGAAACUGUCCGGCUGGAGUGCAGGAGAGGUAAGUGGAAUUCCUAGUGUAGCGGUGAAAUGCGUAGAUAUUAGGAGGAACACCAGUGGCGAAGGCGGCUUACUGGACUGUAACUGACGUUGAGGCUCGAAAGCGUGGGGAGCAAACAGG
rnacentral:rRNA from 1 species